rnacentral:rRNA from 1 species
GUCGAGAAUAAUUCACAAUGGACGAAAGUCUGAUGGUGCAACGCCGCGUGGAGGAUGAAGGUCUUCGGAUUGUAAACUCCUGUCAUCGGGGAGUAAGACCUGGCGGUAAAUAGCCGACAGGGUUGAUAGUACCCGAAGAGGAAGGGACGGCUAACUUCGUGCCAGCAGCCGCGGUAAUACGAAGGUCCCAAGCGUUGUUCGGAAUCACUGGGCGUAAAGGGAGCGUAGGCGGCGUGGUAAGUCAGAUGUGAAAUCCCGGGGCUCAACCCCGGAACUGCAUCCGAUACUGCCAUGCUUGAGGGUUGGAGAGGUAGCUGGAAUUCUCGGUGUAGCAGUGAAAUGCGUGGAUAUCGAGAGGAACACUCGUGGCGAAGGCGAGCUACUGGACAACAUCUGACGCUGAGGCUCGAAGGCCAGGGGAGCAAAAGGGAUUAGAAACCCGUGUAGUCC